GCAAUUCUCGCAGCGCAUUGUAUUACGUUGUUAGCUUUCAAUCUGGAUAUUGAAAAGCGACAUUUUCUCUACUUAAUGCCAGAAGAUUUCCUAGCAUAACAAUCUCGAUUUCUGCUUUCUUUUGUAUAAAUUGUUAAAUAUGAACAAUAAGUUCAAUGCGCUCAAGUCGGAGGAGAACGAAAAUGGAACUGAAGAAAAAUUUAAAGAGUUCUCUCCUGAACCUAUCCUACCAAGGAAGAAACCCCCACCGGUAAAGGAUGGAGACCAUUUAUUAGAGUAUCAUUAUACACUAUGGUUUUCACGAAAGUCACCGGGAAAGCAGUCAUCAUCCUCAGUAUCAUAUAAUUCUCAGCUUAAGUGCAUCAUGACUUUUGCGAGCAUCGAGCAAUUCUGGCUCAUUUACAGCCAUGUAGCUCGGCCGCAUGAAUUAUCUGGCCAUUGCGAUUACCAUCUGUUUAAAGAUGGUAUAAAGCCAAUGUGGGAAGAUGAAGCCAACGUUAAAGGGGGUAAAUGGAUGAUCCGCUUAAAAAAAGGUCUUAUUAGUCGCUGUUGGGAAAAUUUAAUAUUAGCAGUUCUAGGAGAGCAAUUUAUAGUCGGAAAUGAAAUUUGUGGAGCUGUAGCAUCAAUGAGAUAUCAAGAAGACAUUUUAUCUUUAUGGAAUAGAACUGCUUCCAACAAUGAAGUUACAAGUAAAAUAAGGGAAACUCUCAAACGUGUUCUGAAUAUACCCCAAAAUACAAUCAUGGAGUAUAAAGCUCAUACGGAUUCCAUCAAGGAUAAUUCCAGCUAUCGAAACACCGACGUUUUUGUGAAAUAGUUUGUGAAUUUUUAAGAUAAUUAGUGUAUUUUAUUCUGCAAAUACACAAAUGUUAAGGGAUGCAGUUAAUUUUAUUGAGAAUAUAUAUUCUCUCUUUGUACAACCGCUUCUUCUUAUCAUUCCCACCUUUCUCUAGUGAGAAGGAAACUACGUGAUAUCGAAUAAUUUGGAGAAUAAUAGCAUCUUUCCAAAAGUAGGUCAAUCUUUCCAUUUCAAAAGUUUAUCCCCUGUAUUUUAUUAAAUUAAGAAAUUUUAGUGUGAUGUCAAGUUUCGGAGGAAAUCAGAUAAACAAAAGAUCUACAUUAAGGCUUUUUUUUCCGCGUUUGAUGUGUAGUCUAGUUAGUGCUAAUAGGAAUAAGGAGCAGAUUAACUUAAAAAGAAAUAAGGACAUACAAAAAAACAAAUUUCUGCGAUAAAACACUAUAGAAAUCGUCAUAAUUGGUGCAUGCUUCAAAGGGAGAAACGCUGGCUUUUUAUAUCAAUUUUAAGGUAAGUGGCGCAUCUAGGUCGCUUCAUCAAAUCCCUGUCAGCUACAUAUGGUUUAGAAGAGUUCGUUCCACAUAAGAGACCUUAGGAACGAAUAUGAAUAUGUUAGAGAUAGGUUUAGCAUUGGUAUUAAUUUCUCUUCUUCCUUCAAUAAACAUCUGAUUUAGUUUCAAAUCUUUUUUUGAAUGAUAAGAAAUCGAAACAAAGAGCAUACUAUAUUUUAUGCCCUACGUUAUAUUGAUAGUCUAACGUUCUGCAAUUAUAUAUAAUUA
rnacentral:misc_RNA from 1 species